rnacentral:tmRNA from 1 species
GGGGGUGAAAGGGCUCGACUUAGGUAAACAGGGUAAAAGUAGCAUGUCGCGGAAGCGAGGAUAGCCGCGUUAUCAAUCCUGGCAAAAAUAAACGCAAAUCCAGUAAUGGAUAGCCGGCUAAUGGUGCCAGUAAUGGCUCCACUAGCUGGUUGCGUGCCAAUCUUCGCUAAUUAAUUUAGCGAAGUCCCUCCUCAUCCUUGCCUAUGGGAUGGGAGAGGGCCGGUAGUAGGCUGGUUCCAAUUGGUUAGCCUUUGAGAUUGGAACGAGAAUGAGAAAGGCUGCUGCUUGUGCAAUCCUGUCUAUCGGAGUACACAAGAGUAAGAAUAAAAGAUAGACUAAACAUGUAGUGACUUUUAUCCUGAUACCUAAGGACGCCGGUUCGAUUCCGGCCACCUCCACCA